AACGAACGCUGGCGGCAUGCCUAACACAUGCAAGUCGAACGAGACCUUCGGGUCUAGUGGCGCACGGGUGCGUAACGCGUGGGAACCUGCCCUUAGGUUCGGAAUAACUCCCCGAAAGGGGUGCUAAUACCGGAUAAUGUCUUCGGACCAAAGAUUUAUCGCCUUUGGAUGGGCCCGCGUUGGAUUAGCUAGUUGGUAGGGUAAAAGCCUACCAAGGCGACGAUCCAUAGCUGGUCUGAGAGGAUGAUCAGCCACACUGGGACUGAGACACGGCCCAGACUCCUCCGGGGGGCGGGAGGGGGGAAUAUUGGCAAAGGGGCGAAAGCAGGACCCAGCAAUGCGGGGGGAGGGAUGAAGGCUUUGGGGUUGAAAACCUCUUUUACCCGGGAGGAUAAUGCCAGAACGGGGAAAAAAAGCUCGGGCUACCCCCG
rnacentral:rRNA from 1 species